UGCCCUAGUAACGGCGAGUGAAGCGGCAACAGCUCAAAUUUGAAAUCUGGCUUCGGCCCGAGUUGUAAUUUGUAGAGGAUGCUUUGGGCGCGGCGCCAACUGAGUUCCCUGGAACGGGACGCCACAGAGGGUGAGAGCCCCGUAUAGUUGGAUGCCUAGCCUAUGUAAAGCUCCUUCGACGAGUCGAGUAGUUUGGGAAUGCUGCUCAAAAUGGGAGGUAAAUUUCUUCUAAAGCUAAAUACCGGCCAGAGACCGAUAGCGCACAAGUAGAGUGAUCGAAAGAUGAAAAGCACUUUGAAAAGAGGGUUAAAUAGCACGUGAAAUUGUUGAAAGGGAAGCGCUUGUGACCAGACUUGCGCCGGGCAGAUCAUCCGGUGUUCUCACCGGUGCACUCUGCCCGGCUCAGGCCAGCAUCGGUUCUCGUGGGGGGAUAAAGGUCUCGGGAACGUAGCUCUUUCGGGAGUGUUAUAGCCCGGGGCGUAAUGCCCUCGCGGGGACCGAGGUUCGCGCAUCUGCAAGGAUGCUGGCGUAAUGGUCAUCAGCGACCCGUCUUGAAACACGGACCAAGGAGUCAAGGUUUUGCGCGAGUGUUUGGGUGUAAAACCCGCACGCGUAAUGAAAGUGAACGUAGGUGAGAGCUUCGGCGCAUCAUCGACCGAUCCUGAUGUAUUCGGAUGGAUUUGAGUAAGAGCGUUAAGCCUUGGACCCGAAAGAUGGUGAACUAUGCUUGGAUAGGGUGAAGCCAGAGGAAACUCUGGUGGAGGCUCGCAGCGGUUCUGACGUGCAAAUCGAUCGUCAAAUCUGAGCAUGGGGCGAAAGACUAAU
rnacentral:rRNA from 1 species